UAAAACAAAAUGGAGAAGAAAAAAUCUUUUUGAUUUUAGUUCUAACGAUAAAAAAUUCUCUCUCCCUAUGUAAAAACGCUUGAGUGCAAUUCCAAGCCUCAUUCUUUUUUUUUUUGAUGUUUCUGGAUGUUGCUUCUCUGCUAUUUUGGUCUUUUGUUAGUGGAUGCUUAUGAUUCAAUAUCAUCGUUUUGCAGAUAUAAUGAAAGCUUUAGUUGAUUGGCAUUGCUCCUCUCUUAUGAAGACUGCUCGGAUUCUAAGAAGACAGGCUUUUAAAUACUUAAUGUAAAAAAAUGGUGGAUAUGGGGAUAUUGGAUAUUUUCAUUGAUAUAUGAAAUGAAUGAACUUGCAGUUACCGAGUUGCUAGGGCAUAGUUGGGACAAGGUUUCAGAGACGAGUCUAAUGAGCCGGAGGGAGUUGCUAACACCUCCACCAAUCCCAGUUGAUAUUUAAUUGGAAAACCUCGCAUGGCGAUUUUAGAUGGAGAAAAGAUUACUGGUAAGUGGAGUGCAAAUAACAGAAUUUUCCAUCCAAGACUUCGAAGGAUUCAGGCGAAUUUAUAUAUUUUAUUUCUUCAAAGAAAGGUUCAAAAUAUUUCUCUGCUGCAAAUAUUAUUAUAGAUUUGGGAAGUUCUAUAAAAAAACCCUCAUUCUGACCUACUUUAUAAUCGUUCACUACAUCUUUAUUUAAUUGUUUCUCAUAAGUAACCUCUAUCUUUG